rnacentral:lncRNA from 1 species
GUGAAAUGUGCAUAGAAUCACAUACUUGUAACAAUCUGAAUACACAGGAGGGACUGUGAGAGCUAGAAACAAGUUUGGGCCAAAACAUAAAAUAUCACUGUUUGAACAGGAAAAAUCAGGUACUCCAGCUUUAAGAGGUUUUAAAACGACAUGAGCAAUAUUUAUUAAACAUGGGAGAGUGACACAGUGAAUGGAGAAAACAAUUUUAAGCAUUAAAAAGCCGCCCAGUUCAGACCUGGUAACCCUGGUGUACAAUAACAAGGCCUCUUUGUCUGAUGUAAAGGAACAAGCUGCACUGAAGGAGCCUGCAGAGUCUGAGGAGAGCGCCCCCCUGAGUCCAGCCUGGUUUAACCACACUCUCUGCAGCGGAGACAAGCUGUUUGGAGACAAAGAGGACGAUAGAAAAAUGGACGAUCCUAAAGCUACAGACACUGGAGAAGAACUGCACCGCUGUGAUCAGUGUGGGAAGUCAUUCAGACACAAAAGUAAUCUGAAACAGCACCAGAAACACCACACAGGCACAAAUCUCCUCUGCUGCCCCUGUGUGCCAAGAAGUUCACUGCAG